GGGCUCUUAGCUCAGUUGGCUAGAGCGCCUCAUUGACGUUGAGGAGGUCAGAGGUUCAAGUCCUCUAGGGCCCACCA
rnacentral:tRNA from 1 species